CAAGUCGAGUGCGCAGUCUUCUGUAGCAAUACAGGAGAUCGGCGCACGGCGCACGGGUGCGUAACACGUGGGUAACCUGCCCUCCAAUGGGGGAUAACCCGCCGAAAGGCGGGCUAAUACCGCAUGAUAUUCCGGUGGCUUCGGCCGCCGGAAUCAAAGCUCGAAAGGGCGUUGGUGGAGGGGCCCGCGGCCGAUUAGCUAGUUGGUGAGGUAACGGCUCACCAAGGCUUUGAUCGGUAGCCGGUCUGAGAGGAUGGCCGGCCACACUGGAACUGAGACACGGUCCAGACUCCUACGGGAGGCAGCAGUGGGGAAUCUUGCGCAAUGGGCGAAAGCCUGACGCANCGACGCCGCGUGGGGGAUGAAGCUUCUCGGAGUGUAAACCCCUUUCGACCCGGACGAAACGCCCGCAAGGGCUUGACGGUACGGGUAUAAGAAGCCCCGGCUAACUACGUGCCAGCAGCCGCGGUAAGACGUAGGGGGCCAGCGUUGCUCGGAAUUACUGGGCGUAAAGGGUUCGUAGGCGGUGCGGUAAGUCGGAAGUGAAAUCUCUGGGCUUAACUCAGAGGCUGCUUUCGAAACUGCCGUGCUAAAGUGCGGGAGAGGCGAGUGGAUUGCAGGUGUAGCGGUGAAAUGCGUAGAUAUCUGCAGGAACACCCGUGGCGAAGGCGGCUCGCUGGACCGCAACUGACGCUGAGGAACGAAAGCUAGGGGAAGCAACAGGAUUAGAUACCCUGGUAGUCCUAGCCCUAAACCAUCAGGACUUGGGGUGGCCCGCGUUGGCGGGUC
rnacentral:rRNA from 1 species